AUGAACGGCCAUAGUGGUCUGGUCCUACCCGAUCCCAUCCCGAACUCGGAAGUCAAGCAGGCCUACGUUCUGGACAGUACUGUACUUUGUAUGGGAAAUCCAGAAAGCUGUUCAUC
rnacentral:rRNA from 1 species